rnacentral:rRNA from 1 species
CCUACGGGCGGCAGCAGUGAGGGAUAUUGGUCCAUGGGGGAAACCCUGAACCAGCAACGCCGCGUGAGGGAUGACGGUUUUCGGAUUGUAAACCUCUGUCCUCAGUGACGAUAAUGACGGUAGCAGAGGAGUAAGCUCCGGCUAACUACGUGCCAGCAGCCGCGGUAAUACGUAGGGAGCAAGCGUUGUCCGGAUUUACUGGGUGUAAAGAGGGCGUAGGCGGACUUGCAAGUCAGACGUGAAAUCCAUGGGCUUAACCAUUGAACUGCAUUUGAAACUGUAGGGCUUGAGUGAGGUAGAGGCAGGCGGAAUUCCCGGUGUAGCGGUGAAAUGCGUAGAGAUCGGGAGGAACACCCGUGGCGAAGGCGGCCUGCUGGGAUUUAACUGACGCUGAAGCACGAAAGCGUGGGUAGCAAACAGGAUUAGAUACCCGGGUAGUC